rnacentral:rRNA from 1 species
CCUACGGGAGGCAGCAGUGAGGAAUAUUGGACAAUGGGCGCAAGCCUGAUCCAGCCAUGCCGCGUGCAGGAAGACGGUCCUAUGGAUUGUAAACUGCUUUUAUACAGGAAGAAACACCUCUACGUGUAGAGACUUGACGGUACUGUAUGAAUAAGCAUCGGCUAACUCCGUGCCAGCAGCCGCGGUAAUACGGAGGAUGCAAGCGUUAUCCGGAAUCAUUGGGUUUAAAGGGUCCGUAGGCGGUUUAAUAAGUCAGUGGUGAAAGCCCAUCGCUCAACGAUGGAACGGCCAUUGAUACUGUUAAACUUGAAUUAUUAGGAAGUAACUAGAAUAUGUAGUGUAGCGGUGAAAUGCUUAGAGAUUACAUGGAAUACCAAUUGCGAAGGCAGGUUACUACUAAUAUAUUGACGCUGAUGGACGAAAGCGUGGGGAGCGAACAGGAUUAGAUACCCUGGUAGUCCACGCCGUAAACGAUGGAUACUAGCUGUUCGGAGCAAUCUGAGUGGCUAAGCGAAAGUGAUAAGUAUCCCACCUGGGGAGUACGUUCGCAAGAAUGAAACUUAAAGAGUAU